rnacentral:tRNA from 1 species
GGGGUUGUGGCUCAGUGGGGGAGCGCUCACCUGGCAUGUGAGAGGCACUGGUUCUCAGCACCA